rnacentral:lncRNA from 1 species
AUAUCCAAAUGUGUUGCUCACUGGGGAACAAUAGAUUAAAAUUUUCUCAUCACUUGUGCAAAUAACAUCUGUUUCUCUCCAGAAUACUACAAAAGCUUCCCAAACAACCUCUGCUUCUACCCUUGGUCUCUUGCCGGCUCUUACUCUAAGAUUUAUUUCAAAGAAACCCUGCGGAAUGUCUAAAUUGCAUCAUAUCUUCCCUCUGCCACCAACCUUCCAGCAAUUCCCCAUCUCCUGCAGCUCAGAGCACAAAGCCAUCCUCGAUACCUAUAAGGUCCAGUAAAACCUGCAGCCUUCCUGUUUUCCCUACCACUCUGACUUCGGCUCCUAACCCUCUCCUGGCCUGCAGCCACACUGACCACCUUGGUGUCCCCAAUGCAUGAGGUGUUAUCUUGAAUCAGGACCUGGCUGUUCUUUUUGCCUGGAAAACUCUGAAACAUCCUGCUCCUGGAUAUCCACCUAGUGACCUCUUUCACCUCUGUCAAGGAUUUGCUGCAAUGUCUUCUUCCCCGUGAGUUCUCUGCUUUACCGUGGCAAGUUCUUCCUGCUCAUGGCACUCCCAGUACCCUCUGCCCUGCUGUAUUUUGUCCAUAGAUCUUAAUAUCUUCUUAAAUGCUAUAUGUUUUACGUAUUUAUGUAUAGUUUGUAAUCUCCCUUUACUGGAAUCUAAGCUCAUAUGUACAGUAGUCUUACCUGCUGUAUCUCAAUAGCAUACAACAGAUGCUGGCACAUAAGAGGUGCUAAUUUAAUAUUUUUUGAAUGAAGAAAUGACUGAGUGAAUGAAUGAGCAGCGAUUCUAUUAUCUGACUUUGCUGUGGCACUUAGGAGCUCACUGGACAAUCUCAGUUUUGCUUGGGAAUGUAUUGCAAGAAGUGACAGCUGCUGAUCGUGGGCCUGGGCAGGCAGUCUGCUUGCUACAGCUGAUGAUGCUUAGAGCUGGGCCUGGUGUGAGGUGUCCUCCUCCCGCCACUGCCUCAGGAGCUUCUCAUGUUCUGUGAUCAGAAUCAGUCAUCUUGGACGCAUUGUGCAGACCCAUUGUUUGGCAUUCAGCUGUUGUUUUCUGUCUGUAUCAUUGGCCUUUCUUCGGUCUCUGACCUUGCUUCCGAAGACCCCUCCACUAGAUCGCUAAUCCCCCAUUGCUCUGCACCCGUAACCAGAUAGUAAUGCCUCCCGGAGUCCUUUUCUCAGGUCAGUCCUGGACUUGCCACCACUGGGGAGGAAAAGUUGGAUAUUAGAUACGUUGCUCUAGUUUUAAACAACCAAGGGGAAAAUGGAGGGCUGGCUGAUUUAUUUAUGGAAUAAACAAACUCAGAUUCAGAUGAUGAUGGGUUAUCCGGAUAAUUCAGUUUCUAGGUUUGUUCUCCCAAAUUAUCUAGACAUUUAACAUUUCAAGUAAAACCCAGAAGAUAAUCUCAUCAUCUUUCACUUUUCUCCAUAUGGUGGUAGUUUCUCAAGAUGAAAUAUGACUAUUUGCUUUCCUGAAGAGCAAAUGUCAAUCUUGUACAUAAAGUACUUUGUGCUGAAAUAGGGCACUGUGGACUUCUUGUGACUAAUUGAAAGCCAGGAAAUGCAAAUUAAGUUAUAAUAUUUAAUCAUUAGAGAAUGAAGAAAUAUGAGUUGAGGCUUUCUUUACAUUAUUCAAAUCCUUGGAAUGAAUCACAAUUGAUUCAUGGUCCAGUUAUCUUAUUCCUAAAGGACUGAAAUCUUGAUUUCAAAAUUGACAAGAGUGUAAAAGAGAAAGCCCUUUGGAAAGCCAGAAUCCUUUUCCUACCGCUCUAGCAAUGAUCUUGCAAAGGGCUAAUGAUACAUCAUCAGAUUUACAGAGCAACACAAUUAAGAGCAUCUCAUUUGGCUCUGCUAAUAUGCUUAAUGUCUAUGAGGGGGAAAACAUGUCACAGUUCCCAUUCUUUAGAAAGAGUAGCACAGAGCCCUUGUAGAAACCUGGCCCCUCAGAUCAUUUCCACAACAGUGAGCUCCUGGUUUUGAUUCCUAGUUCACCAAGAAGAUAACUUAAAAGCAAUAAAGACAUGAGAGAAGGCUCUGGGAAGUGGGGAAGGACUGCAGAAAAGGAAGAGGGCAAGACUGAGUCAUCAGCAACAGAAACAUUCCCUAUGAACAUUUACCUGGAAUGUACUACAUAAGUCUGGACAUACAAUAGGACUGAGAAUAAUAAUUGCAGUAAUUGUUCUGUCUUCCGGGAGCUUAUAUUGAGAUAUAGGGCAUAAAUAAACAUGAAAGUAAAUGGCAACACAAAGUAGAAAGGCUAGGUAUAUGCUGACCAUAUUUUUCAAAUGAAUACAGUGGACCCUCGACUUGCGAACUCAAUUUAUUCCUCAGGACUAGUUGUAACUCAAAUUGGUCAAUUGCCUUCAAAGUCUCUUUCCUGUAUAAUUUUAGGCCACACUUUCUUCCAGGAAAAUCUCAAUGUCCUUAGACAUUGGCCCAGGAUUUCUCAAUUAACCCUGCUCAGGAAAGGAUGUUGUCAUGUUCCUUCCAGAACUCUUUAAGAAUUAAAUCUGUAUCUGAGACCAUCUGGAAGCACAAGCAGCUGGCAUUCAGAACUUCUGUGUUGCCUCCAACUCAAGCCAGACCUGUAUCUCUUCUCCUCACCUCCACGGCCAACUCUAGGCUCUUCCUAUAUAGUCCAGAGUGGUCUUGAACUCACUAUAGAGCCCAAGCUGGCUUUGAACUCAUGGCGCUCCUCUUGCCUCAGUCUCUUGAGUGCUGGGAUUACAAGCAUGAGGCCUGCAGUGUUGCAGAAACAUCAUGGCGGAAGGGUGUGGCAGGUGAAAGCUGCUUACCUCAUGGUAGCCAGGAAGUGGAGAGAGCAAGAAAGGAAUCAGUGAAGAAGGAGGAUGGACCAUCCUGCCUCUUUUAAAUGCAGGACACUGGAGUGAAAAUAUAAGAAGUAGACUGGGGUACCAACACGGUCCAGUUAUCAUCUGGUACUGAUUGAUCUACCAACCUGCAAAAAAGCAAUCAAUUAAUAUAUCAACAUAUGCUAUAAGAGAAAAUCUCUGUCUUUAUAAUACUGUUAUGUAAUCUUUCAAACUAUAUUUAAUCUAUUUUAACACAAUCAUUUAAAUUUCCACAGCAUAUUAUUAUACUAUCAACCUGUAAUUUAAGAUUCUUUUGCAACCUGCAUUCAUUGUUGGUUAUAUUUUCACAGUUAAGGGAUUAUAACCAAAUGAUAGCUGGCCAUGGGAUAGAGGAUGGAGCAAGCAUGCAAGAUGCUAAAUUGGAUUAAAGUAUUAAACUCAGUUUGUGAAUGCAUACUAAAUAUAUUUGCAUUCAGGUUAAGAUUUUAAAGUGCAGAAGGUUCUUCUAAUGCAGCAAACAAUGAAAAGUAUAAAUGGAAAGGCGUUCAGCCCAAAUGAAUCACCACACAAAAUGAAAAAAUAGAAACACCCACAGAUUUCAUUAUUUUAAGAAAAAAAUACUUCCUUACAGUAGAGAACAAUCAUAUAUUGGAAAUAGGAUGGAAGAAUGGAGCAGUUUUCUUGUGACAAUGAUUUAACAAUGCUCUUAAAACCUGUGCACUUGUAUACUAAGUUCUAAAAUGUUACAGUGUUGAGUAAAACCAUUAAAACCAAUAACUUUGUUUCCUUUUUCCUAUUAGAAAUACUUCUUUACUGUAGAAGAUAAUAGGUGAACAAAAAGAAAAACCGAAAAACCACCAUAACCCCACCACUCAGAAAUAACUACCAUAAUACUUCCAUAGCAUUAUUAAGAUUCACAUACCAUUCAAC